GACGAACGCUGGCGGCGUGCUUAACACAUGCAAGUCGAACGGAAAGGCCCUGCUUUUGUGGGGUGCUCGAGUGGCGAACGGGUGAGUAACACGUGAGUAACCUGCCCUUGACUUUGGGAUAACUUCAGGAAACCGGGGCUAAUACCGGAUAGGAGCCCCUGCUGCAUGGUGGGGGUUGGAAAGUUUCGGCGGUUGGGGAUGGACUCGCGGCUUAUCAGCUUGUUGGUGGGGUAGUGGCUUACCAAGGCUUUGACGGGUAGCCGGCCUGAGAGGGUGACCGGCCACAUUGGGACUGAGAUACGGCCCAGACUCCUACGGGAGGCAGCAGUGGGGAAUAUUGCACAAUGGGCGGAAGCCUGAUGCAGCAACGCCGCGUGCGGGAUGACGGCCUUCGGGUUGUAAACCGCUUUCGCCUGUGACGAAGCGUGAGUGACGGUAAUGGGUAAAGAAGCACCGGCUAACUACGUG
rnacentral:rRNA from 1 species